AUAACAAUAAUCUUUGAAUUCAUAUUUUUAUGUUUGUGGUAUUUGAUGUCCUUUCUUGUUGCAGCUGAUAGUGGAGACCCAGGGUAUGACAACAACUAAUAUUUAUUAUGAACUGAUAUAUCUUAAGACAUCAAACACAUCACCUGGACUAAUUAAUUAAUUAUACAUGUGUAGUGUAGUACUGAGUCCUGCCUGUCAGUCACCACUGAGGGCUAGCCCCGCCCCCUCCUGUGAGUCACAGCUCAGGCCCCGCCCCCUCCUGUGAGUCACAGCUCAGGCCCCGCCCCCUCCUACAGCUCAGGUCUGCUUUUAAUUCAAAGUCAAGUUUUAAAGGAGUCACAUCUCCGAACAGAGGAGCGGAAGACACACACUCUUGCAGCCGAAAAACAGCUCCUAUUCUCGGAUACAGACCCCCCAGAGGAGCCCGGUCCAGGUUUUUCUAACGGAGGACUUGAUCCAGAGGAGCGGAAGACACACACUCUUGCAGCCGAAAAACAGCUCCUAUUCUCGGAUACAGACCCCCCAGAGGAGCCCGGUCCAGGUUUUUCUAACGGAGGACUUGAUCCAGAUUCAGCAUGGCAGCCUACGACAUUUUGAAAAGUAUUAAGACAUCCAUUGAGGAAACUUUGGUCACAGACCACAGGCUAAUUCUCAUCAAAGCUUAUGAAAAGAAGUUGAUAACUCAACAUGAGUACAACAAACUGAGAAGCAUCAACAAACUAGAUGCAGAGGGCCAGGUUGGUGAAUACGAUCAUGAGCAAAGGAGAGCCGGCCUGCCAAGCCUUCCUGAAGCUCCUGCAAACUGAUGAGGCUAUCCAGGAGACUUACCCUGAGCUGGAGAAGAUACUGGAGGACGAGCAGUACAUGUUGAGGAGCAAGCCCACUGGCCUCUGCCUGAUCAUAAACAACAAACAUUUUGUUGGUGGUGACGUGAGAUAUGGAACCGAUAAAGAUGCUGAUUGGCAGAGGUGUUCAGCUGGCUGGGGUUCAGAGUGCUGAUGUGUAAAGACCAAACCAAGGACCAGAUGGAGCGAGCGCUGAAAUGCUUUGCUUCUCAGCGGGGCCUUUCUCAGC